CGUGACUAACCUGUCCCAGGGUGGGGGGACAACCUGAGGAAACUCGGGCUAAUACCGCAUGACGUCUCGUUGUCGCAUGACAGUGAGAUCAAAGAGGGCCUCUACAUGUAAGCUCUCGCCCAGGGAGGGGGUCGCGGCGUAUCAGCUUGUUGGUGGGGUAAUGGCCUACCAAGGCUACGACGCGUAGCGGGUCUGAGAGGACGACCCGUCACAUUGGGACUGAGAUACGGCCCAG
rnacentral:rRNA from 1 species